GAUUAACGCUGGCGGCGUGCAUAACACAUGCAAGUCGAACGAUGAAACUUUAAUGAACCCUUCGGGGCGAAUUACAGCGGGUUAGUGGAGAACGGGUGAAUCACGCGUGAGUAACCUGCUUUCCACAAGGGGAUAGCCUUUGUAACCGAAAGAUACUACCCCAUAAAACCAUAAAAGCACAUGCAAUUAUGGUUAAAGUGGUAGCGGAGUCAGAUGGGCUUGCGUCUGAUUAGGUAGUUGGUGAGGUAAAAGACCACCAAGGCAACGAGCAGUAGCCGGCGUGUGAGAGGGUACGGCCGCAUUGAGACUCGGACACGGCUCAUACGCGUAGGAGCAGCAGCAGUUAGUAAUUUAGGACAAUGGGGGAAACGCUGAUGCAGCGAGUCCGCGAGAUUUAGAAGGCCGUCGGGUUGUAAAAAUCUUUGUGAUGGGGAGAAAAUGACAGUACUAGGCAAAGAAGGUCCGGCUAAUUACGUG
rnacentral:rRNA from 1 species